ensembl:lncRNA
GAUUGUGGGGCUAGGUAUUGAGGGUUAUUUGGGGUUAGGUAGUGAGGAUUCAUGGGGCUAGGUAUUGAGGGUUAUUUGGGGUGCUGGUGGUGAAUCAGGCGUCGGCCUCAUCUGAAACCGUCUCCAGCUAGCUGCUAAAACAUCCAACAUCAUUUAUGCAAAUGUAAUUAGGCUCUGGGAAGGCGAUCGCAGCGUCGCCGCGCCAACGGAGAUCCAUCAUCACAACACGGCCUCUAAACAUUCAAUUAAAGUCUUGGAUUUCACCAGAUUUAAUCUGACCGUAAUAAAUUAGCCAGCGAGGGAGAGACGCCCUCCAGGCUGGCACCGGCCAGGGGACGAACCCGACCCCCCCCACACACACACACAUCCCCGAACCCUACCCCCCACCCCAGCGACCCAACAUGUCCGUUGUGGAGCCAGGGAGACGGCGUUGGCUGCUCUGGUGACGGGAGGAGCUAGAGGAGGAUUUAGUCUGUGUCCAAACAAGAAGCCAUUGGCGAACUAGAGCUAGCUUCAAGGUCAGAGGACAGGCAGUCUUGUGACCUAGGGUUAGGAGCCACACCGGUCAUAGCGGCGGCUGAAAAACGAAUCAAACCGUCUUUAAAAUGUUUUCACGGUAAACAACCAGCUGUCGAACAGAGGCAGCCUUCAAACUGCAGGAUGACAACAGCAGACUUUUUUCUGUUUUUCUCGUGGUGAGAACAUGGAUGUCAGACGUGUUAGCUGCUUCGUUUCCACGGUGAUAAACCUUCCACUCCAAAGGUGAUGAAAGGCCUCUGACACCCAACGCAUAUGCACAUGUACAAGCGCACACGCACACAUGCACACUUUCACG